ACCGCCGCCGUUCAGCCCCCUCCCCCACCCUGUCUCCCGUCCCGUCUCGUGAACGCGCAGGCGCUAGCGGCUGUCAAGGGCGGCUAAGGUAGAAAGAUGAGGGCUGGUACUUCUUGACAGGUACCUCCUUAGGUGCGGCACUGACUGAAGAAGAAAGAUCCCAUUAGCAGUGAAUUCAGCAACUCAAACUAUGCAGGAAUCAGGUUCUCUUCAAGCUGGGCAUUGCACUCAACAGGUAGGUGACCGGAAUUGCACACAAUACUCCAAAUUAGGCUUCACCAAUACCUUAUAAUCUUCAAGAGGCAGUACCUCAAGAAACCAGCAUCCAUCAUUAAGGACCCUCACUAUCCAGGACAUGCCCUGUUCACAUUAAUACCAUCAGACAUGUGGCGCAGGAGCCUGAAGACUCACACUCAAUGAUGCAAGAAGAACUUCUUCCCCUCCACCAUCAGAUUUCUGAACAUUCCAGAGCAAUGCAGUGUAACAUCGACAAAAAUAUUGAAUGCUGCCCUUUAAGUAGGACAACCUUUUAUUUGUGCUUGUUCUUCACUGUGUAACCUUGCUCCUAAUAAACUACCCUGAAGAGAAUCAGAUAAACCCAUGUUAAUGUUUACAUAAGACAGAGUGGUGAGUGCGUGGAAUGGGCUGCUGGCAACAGUGGUAGAGGUAGAAACAAUAGGAUCUUUUAAGAGACUCCUGGAUAGAUAUAUGGAGCUUAGAAAAAUAGAGGGCUAUGGGUAACCCUAGGUAGUUCUAAGGUAAAGACAUGUUUGGCACAGCUUUGUGGGCCGAAGGGCCUGUGUUGUGCUGUAGGUUUUCUGUGUUUCUAUAACUCCAAUAAUUAGAAUCAGGACAGAGUCAACCCGUCUGCCCUCCGACUGCUCCUAUUCUGUAGUGGCUUCACUGCACAGCCCCCGUGUACGGGUACUGGACUGUGACUGACUACUGUCCGCAUGAAUUGAGGCCACGAGGAACACCCUCAGAAACUCUCAUCUUCAGACAUCAACCUUUAUUAGUACACACAAGAUGCUGGAGGAACUCAGCAGGUCAGGCAGCAUCCAUGGAGAGGAAGCAACAGUACAUGUUUUGGGCCGAGACCCCUCAUUAGGACCCCAGCCCAAAACAUCAACUGCUUGUUCCCUCCACCUGCGCAGUGUGUGUGUUCCUCUGAAUUCCCUGCGACUGCAGAAUCUCCUGUGCUUACCAAUCUUUAUUUUACGAAACAUAAGGACAAAUAUCCAAGCAUCAGAGAAAUAGAGGACAUCAAGUCCUGACCUCCAGCUUCCAUUCAACCCAUUGACACUCCUGUCUGACCUCCUGGUUCUACUUGUGAGGAUACAUUGCUCUGAUCAUCCUCCAUGCAGAGCAUGGAGCAGCCAUACUCCUGGUUCCUCAGUACUGGUAACCAGCGCACCGAUCGUGAGUUGGGAGAGCUCCGAGAGAGGAGGCAGCACCUAGGUCCGGGAGCCAAGUUUAAAAGGGGAAAGCUUUGUGGGAACUCGGCUAUAACCAGCGCACCGAUCGUGAGUUGGGAGAGCUCCGAGAGAGGAGGCAGCACCUAGGUCCGGGAGCGAAGUUUAAAAGGGGAAAGCUUUGUGGGAACUCGGCUAUAACCAGCGCACUGAUCGUGAGUUGGAGAGCAGGGAAGGUUCAGGUAUAAAAGGGAGCAGUCAUCGACGGAGUGGUCUGAGGCAGAGUGAUAGGGCUUUGGCUCAUUCAGGCUUCAGCAAGGUAGGUGAUUAGGUGGACUUUGUUUUUUAACCCUUGUAUUUUUUCCCAUAGGAAUAGAGAGCAUGUCUGUAGGCUUAGUACUUUGCUCUGGGUGUCAGAUGUGGGAAUGCUGGGAUUCUUCCAGUCUCCCAGAUGGCCACAUCUGCGCCAGGUGCACCAAGAUGCAGCUCCUGAGAGACUGUGUUAGGGAUCUGGAGCUGCGGCUUGAUGACCUACAGCUUAUUAGGGAAAGUGAGCAGGAGAUGGAUAGGAGCUACAAGGAGUUAGUCACCCUGAGACUGCUGGAGUUAGAUAAGUGGGUGACUGUCAGGGAAGGGAAGGGAAGAGCUCUGAUAAUAGAGAGCUCCCCUGUGGCCUCCCCCUCAGUAAUUGUUAUUUUGUUUUGGAUGCUGUUGAGGGGGGUGAUCUGACAGAGGACAACCACAGCAAUCGAGUCUCUGGCAUUGAGCCUGGUUCCAUGGUGCAGAAGAGAGAGAAGAUGAGGAAGAAUGCGGUAGUCAGAGGGGAUUCCAUAGUGAGGGGAACAGAUGGGAGGUUCUGUCAGCCUGAUAGAGAUUCCCAUAUGGUGUGUUGCCUCCCAGGUGCCAGGGUAUGGGAUGUCUCAGAUUGGCUGCAGAGAAUUCUGAAGGGAGAGGGUGAACAGCCAGAAGUCUUGGUACACGUUGGUACCAAUGACAUAGGUAGGAAAAAGGAGGAGAUCCUAAACAGAGAAUUCAAGGGGUUGGGUAGGAAGCCAAAAAGCAGGACCUCCAGGGUAGUAAUCUCAGGAUUGCUGCCUGUGCCAUGUGCUAACAAUCACAAGAAUAGCAUGAUCAUAUUAAUGCGUGGCUGAGAGACUGGUGUAGGGGGCAGGGCUUCGCAUUCCUGGACACUGGGGCCUCUUCUGGGGGAGGUACGACCCGUACAAAAAGGAUGGGUUACACCUGAACCCAAAGGGAUCCAAUAUCCUAGCAGGCAGGUUUAAUAGAGCUGUUCGGGAGGGUUUAAACUAAUUUGGCAGGGAGAUGGGAACUGGAGUGAUGGGGCUGAGGAAGGGAAAAACAGAAAUAAAUCAAAGAUAGCGUGCAACAGAGAUGAUAGAAAGGACAGACAGGAGAUGAGGCAUACUCACAGCCAGUGGGAUGAUUUACACAGGGCAAUAGAGGUAUGGUGCAGUUAAAACAGAAAGCAACAAAUACUGGACUGAAAGUGUUAAAUUUGAAUCCAUGCAGCAUAAGAAAUAAAAUGGACAAUCUUGAAAUUCAGGUACUAAUUGGCAAGUAUGAUGUUGUGGCUAUCUCUGAAACUUGGCUAAAGGAUGGCUGCCAUUGGGAGCUGAACAUCCAAGGGUAUACGGUGUAUCAGAAAGAUAGGUUAGUAGGCAGAGGGGGUGGUGUGGCUCUGUGCAUAAGAAAUAAUAUUAAAUCAUUAGAAAAGGAUGACAUAGGAUUGGAAGGUGUAGUGUCUCUAUGGGUUGAGUUAAGAAAUGGCAAGGGUAAAAGGACCCUAAUGGCAGUUGUAUACAGGCCUCCAAACGGCAGCCGGGAUGUGAAUUACAAAUUACAGCCGGAGAUAGAAAAGGCAUGUCAGAAGGGCAAUGUCAUGAUAAUCGUUGGGAAUUUUAAUAUGAAAGUGGAUUGGGAAAACCAAGCCAGUACUGGACCUCAAGAGAGACAAUUUGUAGAAUGUCUAAGGGAUGGCUUUUUAGAACAGCUUGUAGUCGAGCCCAUUAGGGGAUCAGCUGUGCUGAUUGGGUGUUGUGCAUUGAUCUGGGGGAUGAUAAGAGAGUUUAAGGUUAAGGAACCCUUAGGGAACAGUAAUCACAAGAUGAUAGAGUUCACAUUGAAAUUUGAGAAGGAGAAACUAAAUUCCAUUGUGUCAGUAUUUCAGUGGAAUAAAGGAAAUUACAAUGGCAUGAGAAGGAAACUGGCGAAGGUUGACUGGAAGGAGAGCAGAGCAGAAAUGGCUGAAGUUUCUGCGAAAAAUGAGGGAAGUGCGGGUACAGAUAUAUUCCAAAUAAGAAGAAAUUUUCAAAUGGAAAAAGGACACUACUGUGGCUGACAAGUGAAGUCAGAGCCAAAGUAAAAGCAAAAGAGAGGGCAUACAAUGAAGCCAAAGCUAGUGGCAAGAUAGAGGAUUGGGAAAUUUUUAAAAGCUUGCAGAACAAAACUCAGAAGGUCAUUAGGAAGGAAAAGAUGGAUUAUAAAAGGAAGCUGGUGACUAAUAUCAAAGGAGAUACUAAAAGCUUUUUUAAGUAUAUAAAGGGUAAAAGCAAUUUGGAGUCUAAAAGUCAGAAAGGCGGCCGGUGAAGAUAAGAUUUCCACUGAAAUUCUGAAAUCACUUGGACCGAAGGGAAAAACGAACCUUUUAGCGAUAUUAAACAACCGUUAUAUGACAGAAAAUCUUCCGGAGGACUUCCUCAAAUCUGUAUUUAUCGCCUUACCAAGGAUGAUACAAUGUAACGAACACAGGAUGAUAAGCAUAAUGUCUCACUGCAUCAAGUUACUGUUGAAAAUAGUGUUCUGCAGAAUGAAAGGUACAAUCAGCGAUGAAAUUGGAGAAACACAGUUUGGUUUUCAUAAAGGCCCAGGAACAAGGAAAGGAAUAUUUGCAUUGAGAAACAUCACAGAGAGAUGCACUGAGGCACAAAAGACCAUCUACUUAUGCUUUAUGGACUAUGAAAAGGCUUUUGAUAAAAUCAGACACGAGAAAGUAAUAGAGGUGCUGAACAAGUACGAUCUGGGAUGGGAGAAUGUGCAAAUAAUAAGGAAUGCAAACAACAGGAAUUCUGCAGAUGCUGGAAA